AACGAACGCUGGCGGCAUGCCUAACACAUGCAAGUCGAACGAGACCUCCGGGUUUAGCGGCGCACGGGGGCGUAAAGCGGGGGAACCUGCCCUUAGGUUCGGCAUAACUCCCCGAAAGGGGCGCUAAUACCGGAUAUUGUAUCCCGACCGAAGGUUUAUCGCAUUUGGAGGGGCGUGCGUUGGCUUAGCUAGUUGGUAGGGGAAAAGGGUAUCAAGGCGACGAUCGAUAGAUGGUCUGAGAGGAAGGUCAGCCACUCUGGGAGUGAGACACGGCCCAGACUCCUACAGGAGGCAGCAGUGGGGAAUACUGGACAAUCGGCGGAAGCCUGAUGCAGCAAGGCCUGGUGAGUGAUGAUGGCCGUAGGGUUGUAAAGCUCUUUUACCCGGGAUGAUAAUGACGGUACCGGGAGAAUAAGCACCGGCUAACUACGUG
rnacentral:rRNA from 1 species